rnacentral:lncRNA from 1 species
AGACAUGUAUACAUCUGUCAUUACUCCAGAAAAUGGGAAAAAGUGACAAGCUGGCAAAGGAGAAACUGCUGCUGACAGUGUGACCACCGCUGGGUUCAGCCCCAAGCAUGUUAUAGACUGUGAAUUUGAGGUAGAGAGAAGUCCAACUUACUAAGCAGCUGAAGAAGGAGGCCAUAACAAGAGUACCAUUCCCAAGUUACAAAGGACUGUAAAAUGCAGAAAACUGGCCAUAGAACCAAUUUUUGCAGGUAAGGAUAUAUACUCUAAGUUCACUUAACUUUACUAUAU